UCAAGUAUUAUCAUCAGAAGUUACUGGGAGCUGCUAUUUUAUAUUAUGACUGCUUUUUAAGAAAUUUUUGUUUAUGGGUCUGAUAAAAUCUGGAUCUCUAAUAUUUUUAACCCCAAGCCCCUUGGACACUGCAGCUCUUUUUAGUUUUUUGCUUAUACACAAUUCAUUCUUUGCAG